rnacentral:rRNA from 1 species
GAUGAACGCUGGCGGCGUGCUUAACACAUGCAAGUCGAACGAAGCACCUUGAUUCGAUUCUUCGGAUGCAGAUCUUGGUGACUGAGUGGCGGACGGGUGAGUAACGCGUGGGUAACCUGCCUCAUACAGGGGGAUAACAGUUAGAAAUGACUGCUAAUACCGCAUAAGACCACAGCACCGCAUGGUGCAGGGGUAAAAACUCCGGUGGUAUGAGAUGGACCCGCGUCUGAUUAGGUAGUUGGUGGGGUAACGGCCUACCAAGCCGACGAUCAGUAGCCGACCUGAGAGGGUGACCGGCCACAUUGGGACUGAGACACGGCCCAAACUCCUACGGGAGGCAGCAGUGGGGAAUAUUGCACAAUGGGGGAAACCCUGAUGCAGCGACGCCGCGUGAGCGAUGAAGUAUUUCGGUAUGUAAAGCUCUAUCAGCAGGGAAGAAAAUGACGGUACCUGACUAAGAAGCACCGGCUAAAUACGUG